CCCUAACUACUCAGGAGGCUGGAGGGGUUCUGAGCUCCAGGAAGCUAUGUUGAUUAGAUGGCAACACUAAGUUUGGCAUCAAUAUGGUAAAGCCCUAGGAACAGUAGACUAUUAGGUUGCCUAAGAAGGGAUAAAUUAGCCUAUGUAGGAAAUGAAACAGAUCAAUACUCUUGGGUCAAUCAGCAGUGGGACUACGACUGUGAAUAGCUACUGUACUCCAGU
rnacentral:sRNA from 1 species